GGCACCGUCGUCUAACAGUAGGAUGCUGGAUUUUCAAUCCAGAAGAUGCGGGUGCAACUCCCGUCGGUGUCA
rnacentral:tRNA from 1 species